CCCAUCCCCAACAGUGUAUUCAAAUCCAAUGCCAAAAGUUACUUAUUAAACGCAGGAGAUAGUGUGCCCUGCAAAAUCCAUUAUAAACUUGGUCUGUGGGAGGACUAGUCUCUUCUUGAAGAAACCCAGGGCAGUCAUCCCAGAGAAGAGGAAAUGGGGAAUCGUCAUGCCAAAGAGAGAAGCCAUCACCACGGCUUUGAUGCAGACCGAGAUGCCAAAAAGCUGUACAAAGCCUGCAAAGGAAUGGGAACGGAUGAAGCAGCCAUCAUUGAAGUCUUAUCCAGCAGGACAUCGGAGGAGAGGCAACAGAUAAAGCAGAAGUACAAGGAGAAGUAUGGCAAGGACUUAGAGGAGGUGCUUAACAGUGAACUGAGUGGAAACUUCAAGAAGACAGCUUUGGCCCUUCUGGAUCGGCCCAAUGAGUACGCCGCACGGCAGCUGCAGAAAGCUAUGAAGGGCGUAGGCACCGACGAGGCCAUGCUCAUAGAGAUCCUAUGCACACGAAGCAACAAGGAAAUUGUCGCCAUCAAAGAAGCUUACCAAAGGCUAUUUGGCAGGAGCCUUGAAUCUGAUGUCAAAGAAGACACAAGUGGAAACCUGAGAAAGAUUCUGGUGUCCCUGUUACAGUCAACUCCCAGCAGUGAGAGUCCCCUCUUGAGUAGGGGGAUGACUAUCCCGCCUUGCGAUGCAAGAGGCAGGACUGGCACCCUUAAGGUCCUGGCACUCAAUCUGGCACCUUUUCUAAAGGAAGCUGAGGCUAACAGCAACCCGUGCACUCAUUGGCAAAGACAUGGAAGAAACCAUUGAAGAAGAGACAUCGGGAGACUUGAAGAAGGCCUAUUUAACUAUAGUGAGAUGUGCCCAGGACCUUGAGGGCUAUUUUGCUGACCUACUAUACAAGGCCAUGAAGGGUAUGGGGACAGAUGAGGAGACAUUAAUUCGCAUCAUUGUGACCAGAGCAGAGGUGGACCUGCAGGGGAUAAAGGCCAAGUUCCAGGAGAAGUAUCAGAAGUCUCUCUCUGACAUGGUUCACUCAGAUACCUCUGGGGACUUCCGGAAACUGCUGGUAGCUCUCUUGCACUGAUCCAAGCCUGAGGAGAAACCCCCAUAGCAGGAUUCUUCCUCGGAACAAAUCAAAUUUGGAAAUGGGUGAAAACCCUUCACCCCCUGGAUUGUUUAUUCAUGGAUUUAAAAGGAGCCCCAAGGCUAAAUUGUCGAAGUCGGGAGCAGCCUCCUCCAAGGGCUUGAACAGUUCACCUUGAAUGCUGGCUUAGCAGGAACCUGAACUGCCUGCCUUCCAGUCUCCCUUUAGCAUUUGAAGCGAAUGCUUUCUAAGCACAAAUGGAAUCAGCAGUUGGUGGGGGGAAGAACCCGAACAUUUAUAAUAAAAUGUUUAGAAAAUUAUAUGCCUCCCAGAUGUACAGAGCCAAAGCAGAGGUUAAAUGGCUAAUGCGGCGUAAAGACAAGAUUAAACGGUUUGCUCAUUUCCCCUUCUGUGUGCUCAGUUUCAAAGCCUUUCUGUUAAUUACAGUUAUGGUUUAUGCCUCCAUCAGCGGCUUUGCCAAAUUGGCUUGAUGAACUUGGGUUCUUGCCUG
rnacentral:misc_RNA from 7 species